rnacentral:rRNA from 1 species
AUGGCGUCGACUCACAGCUCGCGCCGCCUCGACGGCACACUGUUUGCGCUUCUGCUCGUGCUUGCGGCCGCCACCGCCUUUGUCAGUGCUGCCGCGGCGCGAGGGGACGCGCUGGCCGCCCGGCACGAGCGGUGGAUGGCCAAGUUCGGCCGCGAGUACACGGACGCUGCCGAGAAAUUACGCCGGCAGGAGGUGUUCGCGGCCAACGCGCGGCACGUCGAGGCUGUCAAUCGAGCGGGCAACCGGACAUACACGCUCGGCCUCAAUCAGUUCUCGGACCUCACCAGCGAAGAGUUCGCGGAGAAGCACCUCGGGUACCGCCACCAGCACGGCGUGGACAGCACACCGGUGGCCGCGGUGAACAUGUCCAAUGCUCAGUUCGACUCCACGCCGGACAGCGUGGACUGGAGGGCCGCGGGUGCCGUCACCCAAGUCAAGAACCAAGGCUCAUGCGGUUGUUGCUGGGCGUUCGCGGCGGUAGCGGCGACGGAGGGGCUCGUAAAGAUAGCCACUGGCAACCUCAUCUCCAUGUCAGAGCAGCAGGUGCUGGACUGCACGGGCGGCGCCAACUCCUGCAACGGCGGCGACAUCAAUGCCGCCCUAAGCUACGUCGCCUCGAGCGGCGGCCUUCAGCCAGAGGAAUCCUACGCGUAUACCGGCCAGCAGGGCGCGUGCCGCAGCAGCAGCGCCAGCCCAAACUCGGCCGCCUCCAUCGGCGCCCCCCGAAUGGUGGAACUGCACGGCGACGAAGGCACCUUGCAGGAGCUCGCGGCCAGACAGCCGGUGGCCGUGCCCGUGGAGGCUGACCGUGACUUCCAGCACUAUAUGAGGGGCGUGUACACCGGCAGCUCGUCGUGUGGACAGAACCUGAACCACGGCGUGACGGUGGUGGGCUACGGGACGGACAGCGGCGGGCAGGCGUACUGGAUGGUGAAGAACCAGUGGGGGACGGGGUGGGGCGAGGGGGGCUACAUGCGCCUCACGCGCGGGAACGGCGGCAACUGCGGCAUGGCCACCUACGCCUACUACCCGACCAUGGACGGCUCUUAA